AGUGAACGCUGGCGGUAGGCCUAACACAUGCCAGUCGAACGGCAGCACAGUAAGAGCUUGCUCUUACGGGUGGCGAGUGGCGGACGGGUGAGGAAUACAUCGGAAUCUACUUUUUCGUGGGGGAUAACGUAGGGAAACUUACGCUAAUACCGCAUACGACCUACGGGUGAAAGCAGGGGAUCUUCGGACCUUGCGCGAGUGAAUGAGCCGAUGUCGGAUUAGCUAGUUGGCGGGGUAAAGGCCCACCAAGGCGACGAUCCGUAGCUGGUCUGAGAGGAUGAUCGGCCAACCUGGAACUGAGACACGGUCCAGACUCCUACGGGAGGCAGCAGUGGGGAAUAUUGGACAAUGGGCGCAAGCCUGAUCCAGCCAUACCGCGUGGGUGAAGAAGGCCUUCGGGUUGUAAAGCCCUUUUGUUGGGAAAGAAAAGCAGCAGGUUAAUACCCCGCUGUUCUGACGGUACCCAAAGAAUAAGCACCGGCUAACUUCGUG
rnacentral:rRNA from 1 species